ensembl:snRNA U6 U6 spliceosomal RNA
GAGCUGACAUCAGCACAUAUACGAAGAUUAGAACAAUACAAAAAAUUAGCAUCCCCUGCAUAAUGAAGACUUGAAAAUUAAGGAAGUGUUCCAUAUUUUU